UCAAUUGGACGAAGAGUGCAAGUUAUGAAUGAACUGCGUUCCAGUCAAAGCUCUCAAGUCAUUGACGCCCAAACACCUCCGUGAUCGUGGAAGCAUGUUGUUGAGAGUUUUUUGGUGAACAAGUUUUUUGUUGAACAAGUUUUGUUGCAAGUUUUUUACUGCAAAAGGAGAACUCUGUUUUUAUAGGAAGGUGUUGGUGAAGCUUGAUUACUCUGUUUCAUUUAGUGUUUUUAUGCAUAUUCUAUAUUUGAGUUUCUCUCUCUUCCUGGUUACAAUUCCUAUGUAUGCACCU
rnacentral:lncRNA from 1 species